rnacentral:rRNA from 1 species
CCUACGGGAGGCAGCAGUAAGGAAUCUUGCGCAAUGGGCGAAAGCCUGACGCAGCGACGCCGCGUGGGCGAUGAAGGCCUUCGGGUUGUAAAGCCCUUUUCUGGGGGACGAGGAAGGACGGUACCCCAGGAAUAAGUCACGGCUAACUACGUGCCAGCAGCCGCGGUAAAACGUAGGUGGCAAGCGUUAUCCGGAAUCACUGGGCGUAAAGGGCGUCUAGGCGGACGGGUAAGUCGUGCGUGAAAGCUUCCGGCUCAACCGGGAGAGGUCGUACGAUACUGCCUGUCUUGAGGGUCGGAGAGGGACGUGGAAUUCCCGGUGUAGCGGUGAAAUGCGUAGAGAUCGGGAAGAACACCGAUGGCGAAGGCAGCUUUCCAGCUUGAAACUGACACUGAGACACGAAAGCUAGGGGAGCAAACAGGAUUAGAUACCCUAGUAGU